rnacentral:rRNA from 1 species
UGGGGAAUAUUGCACAAUGGGCGAAAGCCUGAUGCAGCGACGCCGCGUGAGUGAAGAAGGCCUUCGGGUCGUAAAACUCUGUCCUUGGUGAAGAAAAAAAUGACGGUAGCCAAGGAGGAAGCCCCGGCUAACUACGUGCCAGCAGCCGCGGUAAUACGUAGGGGGCGAGCGUUGUCCGGAUUUACUGGGCGUAAAGGGUGAGUAGGCGGUUGUAUAAGUCAGAUGUAAAAGGCACAGGCUUAACUUGUGUAAGCAUUUGAAACUGUACAACUUGAGUGCAGGAGAGGUAAGUGGAAUUCCUAGUGUAGCGGUGAAAUGCGUAGAUAUUAGGAGGAACACCAGUGGCGAAGGCGACUUACUGGACUGUAACUGACGCUGAGUCACGAAAGCGUGGGUAGCAAACA